UACACAUCUUCAAAUCCAGGAGGAAUAAGAGGAAUGGAUGGUGCUGGCUGUUCAUGGAUUGCUGAAUGCUGAUUAGGAGUGUUGGUUGCUAAAUGCUGAUCUUCUGGAUGACUUGGCUGACGAACUGGCGGUGAAUUUUGAGCAGGUGGAGGAGUAUGUCUUUCCUCUAGAUAAUACUCUUAAGAUUGAGGAAGAUUGCUCGAUGACAAGGAUGAUAGUGAGGUGGUGAUGUGGAUUGGUCAUCUGGACUUGGAUAGUUACUGAAGAGUAAAAAUGGGGCCUUCGUUGAUGUGGAGAUUGGUGACGAAGGUGUCACUGAAGAUGAUGAUGAUGGUGGUGAUGAGGGUGGCGCCUAUGGUGGUGGCAAGUUCUAUGGGACGACAUUUGGAGGCAAUUGUUUGGUGGAGGCUUAAGGAGUAAAGGAGAAGAAAAUCAUAUAUGUAUUUAUAGGCCGUCAUUGGAUUCUCUUCUGAUUUGGUCAUUUUUGAGUUCUCUUUGGAUUCCUUGGAUUGAAUGAUUUAAAAUUUGAAUAUUUCGAGUGAUUGAUGGGGAAUCAAAUCACUGUCUUUUGGCGAUAGUUGAUUAUAGCUGCUUGUUGGUACCUGAGUAGAACUUUUGGAUGAUUGAUGGAAGGUCAUGUCUUGCUUCUUUUAUUUGAAUGGAAUCAUCUUGAAGAAGGAUUGGCAUAGUCUUUUUUUCCUUCUUCUCUUGUGCUGG
rnacentral:lncRNA from 1 species